AUGUAUAUAUAUAUAUACAUACAAACAUAUAUUGGCUGUAGCCGACAUAAUGAAAUAGGAGCUUUUAUAUGCAUACUCAAAAACGUUUCCUGUGAACGAGCUUAAAGGAUA